ensembl:lincRNA
GUCGCCUACGCGCUGGGCAGCGCCGGCGGCGACGACGACGAGGACGACGGUGGCGGCCCCCGGCUCCGCGGGGCCGCUGAGGAGACGCGAGACUCUGACCUGUCGGAGCUGUCGGACACGGACCCACUUUCCGAGCCCGACCCGCCCGCGCGGGACGCCGCCAGCCCCCACCAGGACGGGGCCCCGGGGCCAGGGCCUCGCGGGGGGCGCGGCCAGGAGUGGAGGCCAACUCCGGGACCCACUCCGGGACAGGGCGCAGAGGCACCGGCGCAGGGGCGCGCGGAGCAAGAGGGGCUCCCCGCGAAGGCCCACGCGGAUGGGGAGCCUAAGGCCGGGGUUAGGCGCCGGCGGAAGGGGGUUGGGAGGCACUGGGUUCCCGAGGCCCGGGCCAGCGUCCUGAGGGGCAUUCAGGAUCCUUGGCAAGGCCCUCCUGUCCAAGAGGCUUCUGCAGACGGCAUGAAAGGGCCUCCCUCUGGCAGAGCCUCUAAGCCCCUGGAGAGCAGGCCGCUGAGGGAGACCCUCCGCGGCUUCUGCACAUCCGAGGACAGUGACAUCAAUAUCACCAGUGGGGAAGAGGACCACAAGGAGCAGCCUUUCCCAGGCGUCUGCAACCCCAAAGAGAAGGAGAACAGUGGCCGUGUCCCCCGGGCUCUCCCGGACAGCCAGGCGGCACCACCAGAGGGCCUUUGCUGCUACAUCUGCGGGUCCCCGCUGUCCCCGGCCUCGCACCACCAGGUCCACGUGCAGAAGCAGGAGAAGCUGGCGCAGGCCCCGUUCUUCCCCUUCCUGUGGCUGCACAGCCCGCCUCCCGGGGCACAGCCCAUCAGCGAGGGCGGCAGCACCCUGGUGUGCGCCAGCUGCUUCUCCUCCCUCACGCAGCAGUGGCAGAGCUUCGAGCUGGCCAACGUGCCGGUGCUGCAGCGACUCUAUGUGGUGCCCCUGGACAGCCACGCCCCCGGCAUGGCCUCCAAGGGCAGGAGGCUCCCGAGAGAAGAGGGCCUGCCCUCCGGGGCCCUGCGAGAGGCCUGCUACCUCUGUGGGGAGGACUGUACCCCAGAUGCCCGGGCGGUCCCCUCCAGGAUCCUCAAUGGCAACGCGAGGAGCGCCAUGCAUUUCCCCUUCCUCAGCCUCCUUCCCUGCCCGCCCAACGCCCAGGGCCCCAACAAGCGCUGUGAGGUCCGCAGCUGCCCCAAGUGCUUCAGCGUCCUGGAGGAUGUCUGGGCCCUGUACAGGGCCUGCCAGAACGAGGAGCUCAUCACCUCCGUGCAGGGCUUCCUGGGCAGGUAUCACCAGGCCUUCUCCGCCUCCGACCCUGCCCUCUCCGAGCUGCCCGCCUCAGCCCAGGGCGGUCCCGUGUCCAUCUGCUACAUCUGUGGGGCUGAGCUGGGCCCCGGGAAGGAGUUCCAGCUCAACGUGAACCCUGCCAGCCGCUUGGGCGAGAAGGAGCCCUUCUUCCCCUUCCUGACCGUGUACCCGCCUGCCCCUCGUGCCAGGCCUGUGGAUUCCACCGGCCUGGUGGCCACCUGUGUGCUCUGCUACCAUGACCUGCUGGCCCAGUGGCUGCAGCAUGAGGCCCGCAGCACCCACCACGCUGUCAGCGCCUGGUCCCGACAGUACCAGGUGGAGACGUUCGUGUGCUUCUUUUGCCAGCAGGAGAAGAAACGGUGUCUGGGCCUGAAGUCCGUGCGGGUGGCCCGGCUGCCCCUGUUCCUAUACACCCUGCGAGCAAGCCACAGCCUGUUGGUGGAUGACGGACAGCAGCUGAUCAUCGGCGCUUGCGUGGAGUGUGGGACCCUGGUGUGUGCAGGUCAAGGGCUCAGCCGCCAGGGACCCAUGAGCUGGAGCUCCCCAGUGGCAGCAGCGACGAAGGCUGUUUGUGGAUCUCUGGAAGCAUCUACAGCCACCCACCCUCCCACCCGGGAGUCCGAGCCCCGGCCAGGUGCCCCCACGGAGACCCUGCCCAGAGGCCCCAGGAUGGCCCAGGAGCUGAGGCCAGUACAGUGUCUGCAGAGCAGCCGGGAGGAGGAUGGACCAGACCUCGCCGGUGCAGGUAGAUGCCAGCUCUUUUUGUAUCUCUGGGUACUGGGCUGGGAUGCGGUUGUCCCAGCAGGGAUGGGGACUCCAAGAGCUGAGUUCAGAGACAGUUCCGCCUCGUGUCCUCGACAUCCUAGGGGAGAGACCGGGUGCGGGGUCUCCCUUACCGGAGUUUGGAUUUUCUCUUCCGUGCUCCUUAGGGCUCCCAAAUCGUGGUUUCAUCAACAUCCCUGGUUCUCGAUACCCUCUCCUGCUGUGCUUCCGGGCUGCCUUUGUUUAUCUAUUUACCUCUGCACUCUCCUGUCUUCAUUCAUUCAUUCAUUUAAAAACAAGAUGUAACGGAUAUUCUUGAGUCCAGAGGGGGUCAUUUCUGGGUUUUUGCGGAUGUCAACGCGCUGUGUCCCGGGCGCACGUGUGUGGAUCUCUCGGGCUGGGCCACAAGGAGCCAGGCCGCUGUGUGUGGGACGAUGGCACCGCCGUCUUCCCUCUCCCACUCCCUCCAGCCACAGACGCGCUGUGGACAACACCCCCACCCCAAGGCGUCCUCAGACAUCUCCUGAGGGCUUCUGCAUGGUGCUUCCCUGAGGCAAGGCGAGGCUGUGCCCUCCUUGGUUAAUUGCCGUGUGUGGAACCCUGAGGCUUUGGCUGCUGGGCCUUGAGGCCUGGGCCAGGUCAGACCCUUUGGCUGGGCUUGGACAUUCGGUGACCUCUGUGAUGCGUUUUUAUGGCCCCGUCCUGAAGCCACCCCUUAGGCCACAGGUUCGUCAGCAAGACCCUCCAGAGGGCUGUGGUCAAGGCUCUGUCCCGCCCCCAUCACUGCCCUACAGGAUGGGAGACUUGAGACCCCCAGCCCAGCCCGCCCCGGGAGCCAACCACAGUGAGGGCAGUGGGUCCAAAGCACCGCAUGUUAUUGGGCCGAGCUGGAGAGUAGAUGAGCAGACAGGGGACUGCUGGGGGCCCGGGGACAGCUGGCCCAUCCCCCAAGCUCUGGACUUUGAUCUGGGACCUCCAUCUGCGGGACAACCCCAAUACCGACCUGUUUCUCAUGUGGUAGGCUCUGGUGGAGGGAAGGGACUGGCCAGGGACUUUAGGGUCACUGAGCCCUCUGAAGGGCUUCCAGACACUGGCAGGUAAGGACAGGGUGGUCAGGCCACAAAGCAGGCCAGGCAGGGACUACUGCCCCACCCUGUCUGAGGACCUGCUCUGCUGUUGCCUUGAGCCAGCUAAACAGAGUUCCUGAUCACAGAGGCCAGGCCAUUGUCAGGGAGGAAUGGCUAAGGGCCUUGGACAAGUGAGUUUCCCUGCUCCAUGCCUCAGUUUCCUCAUUUGGGAAAUGGGAAGAAAGCUAAUGGGAGUGUCUGGCUCACGGGGCAGGUGUGGGGAUUAACUCAGCCAGGACCCGAGCAUGUUUGUGACAGGCCUUGGUACCCUCAGUGUUCAGGGUGCAGGCUGGAACCAGUGAGUUGGGAUUUGUUUGUGAUUUCUGAUGCUCAGCUCUGGUGGCAGCUCAGGCUGGGUCCACACUCACCUGUCACUCAGGACGUCCCCAGGGGAGGCUCAGGAAGAGGAGGACACCAGUGUUCCCCUGUGCCUGGGGUAGUCCGGGUGCCCCUGUUUGGCAAUGCGUCCUCCCGGGCCUGGGGGCUCACGGGUCAGUGGAGGGCUCCGAGGAGGAGGCAGCUUGCCUGGUUCUCACCGUUUCUCUCCCACAGCUUUGGGCAGAGUCCUGCCACAGGAGAGGCCUUAGGAAACCAGAGUCCUCCGGAGCAGAACAAGGCCCAGAUGGACUCCUAGGCGGAGUUUGGCUGUGGUUGGGGGAGCAGGCCCAUCCACUUCUUAUCUGAGGGACCUUUGGCAAAUUAAUGAGCCAUCCUGAGCCUCUGUCCUCACGUCUGUAAGUGGGAGCCAUGAUAGUAGGUGUUAGUAGAGCUUUCGUGGCAGCCACGUGAGCUGAUGCUUGUAAGAUGCUUGAAGAGGUCUGGACACCGAGGAAGAACCAAGUCCGCCUUUUCCCCACUCAUGUCAGGACACAUGUCCUCCUCCGUCAGUGAAACAGUGUCCUGCAGGCCAGAGAGGCUGAGCAAUCUGCCUCCACUCACCCAGCACUGAGCGAGGGGGAUGGGGCUUGAACCCUGAAGUCUGGCUCCCACACCGAACUCACCCCUGGCUCACCAGGCUGCUUCCCUGAGUGCUGGGAGGCUGAGGAGUUCGAGACCGGCCUGGGCCACCCCCAGUUGAAACUCUGUCUCUACAAAAAUACAAAAUUUAGCCGGGCAUGGUGGCAUGUACCUGUGGUCCCAGCUACUCGAGUGGCUGAGGUGGGGGGAUCACUUGAUUCCAGGAGGUUGAGGCGGCUGCAAUGAGCCGUGAUUGUGCCACCACACCCCAGCCUAGGCAACAGAGCAAGACUCCGUCUCAAAAAUAUUUGUUUUAAUUAAAAAAAAAGUUUAAAACUAAUUCAGGAGUUUUCAGAGUGACAUUUCCAAAAGGAGCCCUUUUUGGAGACCUUUGGGGAUGUGACCUGGGUCACAUCUGAGUCCCUGGGACCUGGUCACUCCUGAGUCCCUGGUCCCAGUGGCCACCAGGUCCCUGGAAAGAACCUGUCUCAUCAGCAGGUCCUUGCUGUGACUCACUGUGUAACAGCGAGGGAAGUUGGGGGCGAGGGCCUGAGAGUCUGGUGGUGCUGAGAAGGGUGCAGAGGUUGUGGAGGAGCCCCGCGAGUGUCCCUGCAACAACGGCUGACCUGGCAAGCCAGGAGCCCCUGCCCUGUGGCCGGGAAGGGGCAGGUAGGGCAGGGCCAGGGCACGAACCUGCGCCUGCCAGCUGCUCCUUGUCAGGCUGCUGCCAAGUCCGGGCAGUUCCCCAGCUAGAGACCCACCAAGAGAGUGUCCCGCAGUCAGGCCCCGCCUGGGCAGCCACUGCUGCUCAGAAACGUGACAGUGACUAAUGGUUUAUUACACACCUGCCACCUCUCAUCCGGCAGGCGGGCGGGCGCAGUCUCCCGGGCCCAGCUGUGCACUGCCAGCUGGGCGGUGGGGCGCGUGCAGGGGGAGGGGGCACGUCCAGACACGCAGACGCACGAGACAGACACAGACACAGCACAUACACGCACACACACACAGAGGAAAGCAGGCACUCAGAGACAUAGCCCACAUACACGGCAUAGGCACGAGCGCACGCAUAGGCCACACACACGCACACACGCACACACACACACACAGGAAAGCAGGCACUCAGAGACAGCCCACAGACACGGCAUAGGCACGGGUACACGCAUAGGCCACACACACACACAGAUAUGCAGACACACGGGCAGACCCAGCACAUAUGCAGAUACACACAAAGAAACCCGUGACGCACACACACCUGCAUAGAUUUUUCCCAAGCACACAAUAUACACGUGGAUAUACAGACUCACAGGCACAGGGCCAUAUACAGGCAGACACAGAGCCUGUCUGCACCGCACACAUACCACACACAGCCACACACACAGAAGCCAAACAUCCUCACACAGGUGGAUACACACACAGACUCACAAACACAUAUGCAGUACACACAUGGAUACAUACACAGAGUCCCCCCACAAGCACACAGACACACACAGGUACAGAGACACACAGAGACAGGCACAGACCCCCCACACACACAGGUACACACAGGCAUCAAGAUUGUCUCACACACACACGUAAGCACACACCACAGAAACACACACAGGAGUCACAUUCCAAAUGCCCAUCCCCACCACAGCCCCGUCUCCCUCUUCCCAGGCCACGGCCCCGGGGGCACUGACGCUCUCUGCCCUCCCUGUCUCUCUGGCGCCUGACAUGGUGGUCCCACCCUGGCACUGGCUGGGGCAGGGGCCUUUCCCAGCGGUGGGGGUGGCCAGGGCAAGUGGAGGAACUGUAACCGCCCAGGGCAGUCCAUUUCUGACCCCCACUUCCCUGGAAAUGCCUUGUGCGUGGGGACAGCAGCUUUUGCCAGGGAAAGGAAGCAGGUACAGGAGGAGCCUGUGCUGAGCUGGGACCUGGGCCGAGUGCCCCAGGGAAGCACAUGGCCGUCAGCUGCCUUGGUCUCCCCCAGAGGCAGGGGUUGUGUCUGUUGUGGAAGGCGGUGAUGAGUUUUGGUAACACUGGGUUCCCUGCUGUCCCAGACUCCCAGGCCAGCCCACAGAGCUUAUCAGACUUGUGUCACUACGGUCGGAUGGGGCUACCGCCGUGUCCAGAGUGGGGCCACUCCCGGGCAAAGGCUCCUGGUGGCUGGCCAGGCUCUUACCUUGUGGGCAGCUUUGGUUCCCAGGUGUUGCAUUUGCAGUGGCCAUCUGAGAAGUGGCCUCUUGCUGGCUGCGGGGAGCACAGCUCCAGGACGGGGGACUCGGCCCUUCUGUGAAGGCCUUGGGGACCCCUGGGGCUGGGAUUCCUCUGGCAGGCAAGGCCCAAAUGGACUGAGCAGGCAUCUCCAGCUGCUGGGAGAAGGGUGCAACGGAAACCUUGUGAUGUGUGUCCUUCCCUCUUGGGGCGGGCGAGCACUCGAGCUCAUCUCUUUCCAGUACUCUUCGGCCUUUAGUCAAAUGAAGACCCAUUUCUCAUGUGCCAUCGCGUGCAGUAUAGAAUCUAUUGAGAGGACACUGCUAAUUUAUCACCAGCGGAUGGGAACAGGCUUCCCUAGAGCAAGUAUCUUUGUGUUGCCUGCAGCCACCUUGGGAGAGAAGCAGCACUGGUUGGUGAUAGGAGGGAGGGGCCUGGACUCAGGUCCAAGUUUCUAAGUCCUAGCAUUGCUACUUCCCGGCCACGGAGCCUUCUCAAGGUUCAGGACCUUUCCUGGGCUCUGCUGCUCUGACUACUGAAUAGGCAUGGUAAAAAUAAAAUCCUUCUGGUAGCAUGGUGUCAGUGAUACUGGAUGAACACUGAGACGGCACUGAGGGCUGCCAUGCAGGGCUGUGCAGCGUGCACACUGCACAACUCCAGGAGGCGUCCACACACAGCAGAGGAAGGAGGGAGUGAGGGUAAUCAAGAGAAUGAAAGCACUGAGCUGUUUUCCCACCAGAGGGUGCAGUUGCAAAAGCCUGAUUUUCCCAUGCGGUGCCUCAGUUUACCCAUAGGUACUGUCACCACCAGUUGCCCUCUGUUGGCCACCUGAGGAAAGGAAAACCAGCCUCUCCCUGUGGUCUGGGAC